CCCCUGCCUCCCUUGUCUCCACCCGCCUAGAUCACUGUCUCACAGUCAUUCUGUGGAACUUCCUCUGUGUCUCUCACUGGAGCCGCCUAACUUCCUCUCCCACCUCCCUUCAUCAAGGAGCAGUCUCAUGCCCAGGAGCUAGAAAUGUAGGCUUUGCCGGCAUUGGUUGAGCUGUGCUGGGCCCUAGGCAGCGAUGACUCAAACUUGACCCUUAACCCCCAGGCAGGCAAGUUUUCACUGGGUCUUACCCGACGUGAGCCCCCACUCCUCCAUAUGGACCUGUUUUGGACCAAUGAGGCAUCCUCUUCUGUAGUCCUCAACACGCGGAGCUCCACCACUCCUGAGCAGUGUGACCUCAGGUGCUUGCUGCAGAGGCAUCGGGGGUCUCUGGCCAGAGGUGACAUCUGAAGCAAUCGGGAUCCUGUUUGGUUUUGCCACAUCCGACCUGCCGCCCAGCUGGGGCAAGACAGCCACGCGCGGCGGAUGCACCGGCCCUGAACUCUUUCUCGAGUAGUCCCCAGAGAUUUCAGGAAGAGAGAGAAGAGGUAAAGAGACCAGAAACAAAGUCUUCUGCAAGCAAAGAACUGCAACAGGCCCCAGCUGUUAGGUUUGAGGGGCGUAUGGGGCAGGCGACUGAACUGCAGAGUUGGAGCCAGAGGUACCAUUGCUGACCCCUGAGCCCAGGAGCCUUGAGAAUACUGACAGUGUUAAUAAUAACUGCAAUCAUCCAACAUAUGAUGCUAGAAUAACUGGACAUCUGUGUGCAAAAAUAUUAAACCUAUACCUUGCACCUUAUCACAAAAUUCACUCAAAAUAGAUCAUAGACCAAAAUGUGAAACAUAAAACUAAGA
rnacentral:lncRNA from 10 species